rnacentral:rRNA from 1 species
UACGGAAGGUGCAAGCGUUGUUCGGAAUGACUGGGCGUAAAGAGCGCGUAGACGGACUCGUCAGUCGGAUGUGAAAGCCCCGGGCUUAACCUGGGAACUGCAUUCGAUACUGCGAGCCUUGAAUGUCUGAGGGGUUAGUAGAAUUCCCGGUGUAGGAGUGAAAUCCGUAGAUAUCGGGAGGAAUACCAGAGGCGAAGGCGGCUAACUGGCAGAACAUUGACGUUGAGGCGCGAAAGCGUGGGGAGCAAACAGG